rnacentral:lncRNA from 1 species
CUUUAAAAAGUUUGCUUGGGCAAGAAAAAAGUUCUGGAAUGGAGCAGAAUUCUAUGCUCCCCCCAACACACCUGUACAGAUUACCUGUAUAGCCAGAGAAGAGGAAGGGCCAGACAAGAACAACCUGAUUGGCUGCAGUCACAUUGCCUUAUAUGGGCAUGUUCUGGCAGCUUUCAGCCUCUGAUUGGUUGGAGAUUCAGCUGCUAUGAUUGGCUAAGACUCGGUGCUUGGUUACAGGGACAUCCUCUUAGGUUAAGUUACCACAAGCCGGCACCAGAAGUGAGGUGUUAGGCACCAAAAGUGAGGUGGUACUUUAGGACGUAUGGAGACCACUUUGGGCCAAACUUUGUCAUACAAGUGUGGAGACAGGUGUUGGCCAAACUUAAAAAUUUCAUAGUCCUAAGAAUUUACCCAUCAUAAGUUGAAAAAUUUUAAAUCCAAAGUGCUUUCAACACACUUAACCUACCUAGCAUCCCAGCUUAGCAAGGGGUAUCCUGCAGACUGUCAGUUGUUUACCCUGAUAAUCGUGGGCUGCAGCUCACCAUUGGUGCCCAUCACGGUUGACAGAAUAUGGACCGCAUAUCACUAGCUGGACGUUAUACAGCUUGAAUGGUCACUGAUCCAGGUGAUCCAGGAAAGUCCAAUGUAAAAGAACUGAGGCAUGGUGCCAUGAGAUGGGAGAAAGGCAGGCAGAUCCAGCACAGAGCCACAUAUUGGGGAAUUACUGAGAGAAGUAUGGUCAAGUGCAGCGGCAAGACCAGAAGAUCCCCAAGACUUGGGACAGAGGGAGGGGGUUUAUAUAGUGGUCAAGACAUAAGCGACUCAUCAAGCCAGAAUGGAGCUGGUUUAUUCCAAGCUAAUGUGAAGGAUGUCAAGUAAAUUCCUGGUGCUGACCUAUGAUUCCAUUUAUAUGAAAUCUCCAGAGACAAAUCCAUAGACAGAAAAUAAGAUUAAUGGCCGCCUGGAGCUGAGUAAUGGCUGAAGGCCUUGGGUUUCUUUUUGGGGUGAUGACACAUUCUAAAAUUGAUUAUGGUGAUGGAUGAGCAACCCUGAGUAUACCCAGAGCAACGGAGUGUACACUUUCAGUGGCUGAAUUGUCUACUAUGUGAUUUAAGUCCCAGAAAAGCUGCUGAGUAAAGAUUCACCCACCCCAGUGGCCACUGUGAUUUUUGGUAGUUGUGUAACCAGCACCUCAAUCAAGAUAUAGAAACGUUCCAUCACCCUGAAGAGUAUCAGUGCUCCUGGGCAGUCUCCCAACUCCCAGCAGGAGGCAACCACGGAUCUGCUUCUGCUGAUGUUUUCAAUUCAGGGCUAUCGUCAAUAAUAUUAUCAACAUUUGCAUACAUUAUGUAGACAUGUUUUCAUUUCUCUUGGGGAAAUACCUAGAAGCGGUACCAUGAGGUCACAGAGAAGAAGUGAUUUGUCUAAGGUCCCCAACUAAGAGCCCAAGAUUGGAUGGUAACUUUUCUGACCCAGGGAGGAGAGGGGCUGACCCUCUAGGGCAUGCAGGGGCAUGGCUCCCAUUCAGUUCUCCUCCCAGAGGUUCAGCCUGUCCCCUCCCAGCUUGUCCCCUCCCUGCCCUGGCUCCCAGGCCCUUAUCCCCAGGCUCCUGGUGGAGUGGGAAGCUGUGGAGGGGUUCUCACUAGGGGAGUGGAGAGAAGAAAUAAGGUGGACAUAAACACUGAACAGGAGUCUGUGGACAGAAGAAAUGGAGAGGCAUGUGUUUAGCAAAACAGAGAGGAGAGGGGGAAAAGGAGAGAGAAAGGAAGAGGAAAGAAGAAGGUAUUGUUCUCCAGUCUUACAGUCCAUGUGGACACGUCCUCUUGGGAAGUUAAGUUGGUAAUUCUGGUAAUUUGGCAAACACAUUCUUGUUCCUUUACAAGCUCCAGAUAGAAACACCCACCUUCUGUUGAGAUCAGAGGGUGGCAGGAGUGUGGCAGAAGAUGUUGCUUGGUGUUUGUGAGGAUGGCCUGAGGUCUGAGCCUAAGCAUCUCCAUUUUAAAACUCCAGCUUGAAACCUGCAGUCUCACCAGGCACACCUAAGGGAGCCCUCCAGUAGGGCCCUGAGGCACAAACAAGUCACCUCUCCCCACCCUGACAAACUCGAGUGAAGCCUCUGGCAGGGAAAGGUGAAAAAAUCAGGGUGGGGACCACCAGGCCAGAUGUUUUAACCCCUGGGUAAAUGAUGUCACUGAGAAAUCCGGUGCUAGCUGAUGAGGAUUGAAAAGGGGGGGGGGUCAAAAGCCCCCAAAUUUAGUAUAAAUAAUAGAGCAUAUGAACAGACAUUCAGCCAGCCAACACUGAUGCACACAGCUGGAUGCACAUCACUCCUGAGGAGGACCUGGACUGACAUCCCAUCCCUUGUCAUUGCUUCCCUGAUCCUCUGCAUGGUCCUCACCACUUUCAAACUCUACAGCCACAUCUUGACCCUGGUGAGAGCCACAACUUCUCUCUAGGACCACCUCCCCAGCUGGCCAUCAGCUCCACCCAGGAGAAGCCAGCCUUGGUUCCCAACCUGAUCACCGCGGUCUGAGUGGUGGGCAUCUGCUGGACUUAAAGCCUAAGGCCUGGGACUUCUGAUCUGAUGACACCUGAACUUAGCAUGCAGAGGGAAUGUCUGUCCUGAGCCUUGCAGGUAGCUGAGGUGCUGUUUGCAGUGCUUAGAACUAAUCUAGAACUGAUUGCUGUGAAUUGACUAUGUCUAUUGCAGUGCCCAGCAUUAAGGAUGAUCAUUUUCUUGUUUAAGAACCUACAGAGUGA